AUGAGCAAGCUCUGGACCAUCCUCACCCACCUCCACACCCUCGCAGGGCCUGGCGUGAUGCUCCUGUACCCGCUGUACGCGUCGGUGCAGGCGAUGGAGAGCCCGUCGAAGCUGGACGACGAGCAGUGGCUGGCCUACUGGAUCCUCUACUCCUUCGUCACGCUCGUCGAGAUGGUCCUCGAGUCCCUCAUCUACUGGAUACCGAUCUGGUACGAGCUGAAGCUGCUGUUCCUGGCGUGGCUGGCGCUGCCCAACUUCAGGGGAGCGGCCUUCAUCUACGACAGGUUCGUCAGGGAGCAGCUCAGGAAGCACGGCCUCACCAACCACCCCGGCAGCGGCAUCAGCAGCAGCAAGAAGGAGAACGGCGGCAAGUCGUCCUCGCCGUCGACGUCCCCCAAGGAGAAGGAGAACGCCAAGAGCAGGUUCCUCUCCUUCGGCGCUCCCAAGAAAGACCACUGA
rnacentral:rRNA from 1 species